AUGGUAACAAGAGGAAAGUGGGCCAAAACCAGGAAAACACAGAUUUUAUUAUUCAUGACGAUCUUGCUUGCUGUGACUGCAAAUUGUGAAGCGCUUCAACUAUCUGAAUCCCUGAAAGAUCUAAUAGAAGUCAUUACUUCCUUAGGACUCUACAAGGUUGGAACUCAUAGGCUUAAAAGAUGUUCUGUUUUUCCUACAUUUGAUUGGAUUUCCUUAUCAAACUGCUGUUCUUUCCAAGCCCAAGCAUAAGGAUUUUGAGUUGCUCUAGCAAGACCAUUGUAUGGUUUGUGGUGACAAAACUAUUAAAAGUUAUUACCAUAGAUAACUAUAUAAAUGUGUAUACAUAUAUUGGAUUUAACAUAUAUUUUAACAUAUUUAACAUGUAUGGGGCUACCUGCCAUCUAGGGGAGGGAGUGGGGAGAAGAAGGGGAAAAGCUGGAACAGAAGGUUUGGCAAGGGGUCGAUUUUGAAAAAUUAUCCAUGCAUAUGUUUUGUAAAUAAAAAGCUAUAAUAAAAAAAGGCAUAACAAAGGUGUUGCUAUAAGAGUCUUACCUGUGGUUUCUAUGCAUGCUUUGGAAGCCAUAGUUCAAAAAGAAGUGAAAAAAAUCAGUUUUAUAAGACUUCUACCAGUAAUUGUAAAAUCACCAAAUCCACCAAACUAGAUUGUAGAGCUUGCUGCCUUAACCAGUGUUAUCAAACUGGAAUGGCUUCUCAAAAUUUUAAAAAACAUCUAGCAAUUCUUCAGCAAGAAAUCCAGUUUCUUAAGCCUGGAAAGACUUACAUGAACUUACAUGAUGUUAAAUGAAGUGAAUAGAACCAAGAAAACAUUGUACAUAGCAACAAGAAGGUUACGUGAUGAUCAACUAUAAUGGACUUGGCUCUUUUCAAUAAUAAGAUGAUUCAAGUCAAUUCCAAUAGACUUCUGAUGGAAAGAUCCAUCUUCAUCCAGGGAGAGAACUAUGGAGACUGAAUGUGAAUUAGAUUAUAGUGUUUUUGCCUUUUUUGUUGUUUGAUUGCUUUCUUUUUUUUCAUCUUUUGAUCUGAUUUUUCUUAUACAACAUGACAAAUAUGGAAAUAUGUUUAGAAGAACUGCACAAGUUUAACCUAUAUUUUAUUGUUCAUUGUCUAUGGGAGGGGAUAGGGAAGAGGGAAGGAGAAAAGUUUGAAACACAAGAUUUUGCAAAGGUGAAUGUUGAAAACUAUCUUUGCAUAGUUUUGGAAAAAUAAAAAUAAAAAGCUAUUACAUUUGGAAAAAAUAAAAAGCUAUUAAAAUUCAAUUUAUUUCUCAAGAGAGAAUUUAUUUCUUGAUUCAUGCAGGCACAAAUCAACUUCCUUAACUUUUUGCAAACCAUGGGUUCCAAAGUAGUAUAUUGUGUGACGUUUUAACGAUGUCCUUUUAUCUUGACCAAUUGCUGUUGCCUACAUUAAAACUCCAUAUUUCAUGUUCUCAAUAGCAGGAAUCUCUCUUCAACUCCUCCAGAAAUAACUCUGUCAAGACACAUCUUCAGCUAUAGAUGCCUCUUACCUUAAAAAGGGGGCUAUGAGCAUCUCUCCAACUCUUCAGUAUCUCACUCUGGAGAAUCAGACUAUUCUCCAUUCUCUCCUGAGACUCACCCUGCUACUUAUGCAUCUGUCUUUUCUUUACCCUCAAAUUUUUCCUAUGUUGUUGGAGAUUUUGCUUUUGAGUAUCAUUAUGGAGUACUUGUAACAGUUGUAAAGUGGUAUUAUGGGAAGAUCCACUAAUACAGAUUUGAUAGAACUACAAAUUUUUGCAAUCAUUCUGGAAAAUAAUUUAGAGUUAUGUGAGAAAAGUUAAACUAUUCUUACCUUUAGCUCAUUUGAACAUAGCUAUUUGCAUGUAAUACCCCCUAUCAGAUUAUGAGUUUUUGCCUUCCUGGAAUGCUUAUUGACUGACUAAUUCCCCUAUUGUGAAUAUUUCCCAGAAAGUCAAAAACAAGGCACAUAUUAACCAAAAUAUUUAUAGUAGAACUUGCUUAGUAGUAAAAAACUAGAAACAAGUGGGUACCUAUUGAAGGGCUAAACAAAUCAUGGUAUAUGAAAUAGAUUAUUAGUAAUAAAUGAUGAAUAUAAAGAAUUCAAAGAAACAAGUUCUAGAUUAGUAUUCCAGACUCAUGUUAGGUCACUUUUUCAGAUUCCAGUUUAGAGCAAAAUGAGACAUUCCUUGACUAGCUAACAUUUAACAAAAAUAAGUUUAUUUAACAUUCCUGUGAAAAGGACAGUCAGCAAAGAUACAACAUUAAUUCAGCAAGACCACAGAUCCCUUACUGUGCAGUUUACCAUAGCAAAGCCUAAAGAGCCCAAUUCUUUGUGUGUUGAGCUUUUUGUGUUUAUGUGACCAGGGAACUGUCAAUGUAAACCACUGGUUUAUAUGGCUUAGUUUCCUGGACCAAUUGAAUCUUGGGAUCAUUGCCUUUUAAAGAAACCUUAGUAAGGGUUCAGGGACCUUAGUAAAAGUUGUUUCUAACAUACAUAAGAAGACUUAUAUGAACUUAUACCUAAAAAAUAAGUAGAACCAGGAGAAAAAAGUUUUUAAAUUCACUUAAAUGAAUAUUGAAACAACACUAAAUAGAGUCAAACUCACAAUAGUUGUAAUGAUCAAUCUUGGCCAAAGAGAAGCAAAUAAUAUCUCCUUCCUUGGGAGAUCAUAGAUACAGAUUGCAGCACAUAUUGUUAGGUUUCGUCACUGUAAUUACUGAGCUUAUUUAUUGGUUUUCUAUACAGGGAAAAUUGAAAACAGGGUUUGUAGUAGGAGAAGCUGUAUCCAAAAACAACUAUGACAUUAAAAUAUCAAUAAAUUGUAAUGGGCUGAGGCUUGAGUUGAUGCACUGAGAUCCCAAGCACAUGAGGCUAAAUAGUAAUUGGACUAUACUCUAUUAAUAUACAUGAUUGGAUAAAGAAUGGCCCCCGCCCACUCUCUGUGCAAGUCCUUAUGUGUUGUAUAGGAAAUGACCAUUUUGGUGGGUAGAGGCAGAGAGACAGCAAGAGAGGCUGGGAGAGAUUGAGCCUGGGUUCCAGACUCCUAGCUGCUGGUCGUGUGGCUGCUGGUCUAGCUAGCUUCUUGACUCAGCUACACACAUUGCUAUUGCCACCUCUCUUCCACCUCUGAUCUUUCUUCACUGAGAAUAAAGAUUGAUGAUUUUCCCCUAACCUGAAUUCCUGACUCCGGCUGAUUUUA
rnacentral:lncRNA from 1 species